GAUGAACGCUGGCGGCGUGCCUAAUACAUGCAAGUCGAGCGAACGGACGAGAAGCUUGCUUCUCUGAUGUUAGCGGCGGACGGGUGAGUAACACGUGGAUAACCUACCUAUAAGACUGGGAUAACUUCGGGAAACCGGAGCUAAUACCGGAUAAUAUUUUGAACCGCAUGGUUCAAAAGUAAAAGACGGUCUUGCUGUCACUUAUAGAUGGAUCCGCGCUGCAUUAGCUAGUUGGUAAGGUAACGGCUUACCAAGGCAACGAUGCAUAGCCGACCUGAGAGGGUGAUCGGCCACACUGGAACUGAGACACGGUCCAGACUCCUACGGGAGGCAGCAGUAGGGAAUCUUCCGCAAUGGGCGAAAGCCUGACGGAGCAACGCCGCGUGAGUGAUGAAGGUCUUCGGAUCGUAAAACUCUGUUAUUAGGGAAGAACAUAUGUGUAAGUAACUGUGCGCAUCUUGACGGUACCUAAUCAGAAAGCCACGGCUAACUACGUGCCAGCAGCCGCGGUAAUACGUAGGUGGCAAGCGUUAUCCGGAGUUAUUGGGCGUAAAGCGCGCGUAGGCGGUUUUUUAAGUCUGAUGUGAAAGCCCACGGCUCAACCGUGGAGGGUCAUUGGAAACUGGAAAACUUGAGUGCAGAAGAGGAAAGUGGAAUUCCAUGUGUAGCGGUGAAAUGCGCAGAGAUAUGGAGGAACACCAGUGGCGAAGGCGACUUUCUGGUCUGUAACUGACGCUGAUGUGCGAAAGCGUGGGGAUCAAACAGG
rnacentral:rRNA from 1 species